GAUGAACGCUGGCGGCGUGCCUAAUACAUGCAAGUCGAGCGAACGGACGAGAAGCUUGCUUCUCUGAUGUUAGCGGCGGACGGGUGAGUAACACGUGGAUAACCUACCUAUAAGACUGGGAUAACUUCGGGAAACCGGAGCUAAUACCGGAUAAUAUUUUGAACCGCAUGGUUCAAAAGUGAAAGACGGUCUUGCUGUCACUUAUAGAUGGAUCCGCGCUGCAUUAGCUAGUUGGUAAGGUAACGGCUUACCAAGGCAACGAUGCAUAGCCGACCUGAGAGGGUGAUCGGCCACACUGGAACUGAGACACGGUCCAGACUCCUACGGGAGGCAGCAGUAGGGAAUCUUCCGCAAUGGGCGAAAGCCUGACGGAGCAACGCCGCGUGAGUGAUGAAGGUCUUCGGAUCGUAAAACUCUGUUAUUAGGGAAGAACAUAUGUGUAAGUAACUGUGCACAUCUUGACGGUACCUAAUCAGAAAGCCACGGCUAACUACGUGCCAGCAGCCGCGGUAAUACGUAGGUGGCAAGCGUUAUCCGGAAUUAUUGGGCGUAAAGCGCGCGUAGGCGGUUUUUUAAGUCUGAUGUGAAAGCCCACGGCUCAACCGUGGAGGGUCAUUGGAAACUGGAAAACUUGAGUGCAGAAGAGGAAAGUGGAAUUCCAUGUGUAGCGGUGAAAUGCGCAGAGAUAUGGAGGAACACCAGUGGCGAAGGCGACUUUCUGGUCUGUAACUGACGCUGAUGUGCGAAAGCGUGGGGAUCAAACAGGAUUAGAUACCCUGGUAGUCCACGCCGUAAACGAUGAGUGCUAAGUGUUAGGGGGUUUCCGCCCCUUAGUGCUGCAGCUAACGCAUUAAGCACUCCGCCUGGGGAGUACGACCGCAAGGUUGAAACUCAAAGGAAUUGACGGGGACCCGCACAAGCGGUGAAGCAUGUGGUUUAAUUCGAAGCAACGCGAAGAACCUUACCAAAUCUUGACAUCCUUUGACAACUCUAGAGAUAGAGCCUUCCCCUUCGGGGGACAAAGUGACAGGUGGUGCAUGGUUGUCGUCAGCUCGUGUCGUGAGAUGUUGGGUUAAGUCCCGCAACGAGCGCAACCCUUAAGCUUAGUUGCCAUCAUUAAGUUGGGCACUCUAAGUUGACUGCCGGUGACAAACCGGAGGAAGGUGGGGAUGACGUCAAAUCAUCAUGCCCCUUAUGAUUUGGGCUACACACGUGCUACAAUGGACAAUACAAAGGGCAGCGAAACCGCGAGGUCAAGCAAAUCCCAUAAAGUUGUUCUCAGUUCGGAUUGUAGUCUGCAACUCGACUACAUGAAGCUGGAAUCGCUAGUAAUCGUAGAUCAGCAUGCUACGGUGAAUACGUUCCCGGGUCU
rnacentral:rRNA from 1 species